UACGAAGGGGGCUAGCGUUGCUCGGAAUCACUGGGCGUAAAGCGCACGUAGGCGGAUCUUUAAGUCAGGGGUGAAAUCCUGGAGCUCAACUCCAGAACUGCCUUUGAUACUGGGGAUCUCGAGUCCGGAAGAGGGAUGCGGAAUUCCAGGUGUAGCGGUGAAAUGCGUAGAUAUCUGGAGGAACACCGGUGGCGAAGGCGGCAUCCUGGACCGGUAUUGACGCUGAGGCGCGAAAGCCAGGGGAGCAAACGGG
rnacentral:rRNA from 1 species